CCUUCUUCCUCUAAAUCAUUUUUCUUCUUUUUCUUGAACAACCUGUGAUAUGAAAAUCCAAGGAAAACUGAACUGAGAUUAUGCUCGAGAGAGAGCUCUUGUGAUAUAUGGAUUGCGUUGAGUUACUGAUGCUAUUAAUGGUCCCUGUUUUGUAAGACAUUGCGGAGAAAUUCUUCUUCCUAUUUUUCGAUGUGGAAAAUGAUAAGAUGAUUUGGUAAAGUUUCGAAAACAAAUGAAUAGAGAAGGAAGUAGGAUUGUCCGUUUGCAAUCAUACUCGAAGAAAGCGUUGAAUACGGACAGACGGACACGCAGAAAUGAACUUGUUAAAGUGAAUGGAAAGGACUUUUCUUCUUUUGGUAUGUUUGACCCUUCUAGUGCAUUUCGAUGUUUUUAGUUGCCAUUGUUCUCUUCACUGUGAACUCUAUUAACCAUCUUGAAACUGUUAUGUUAAUGUUUCCUUAAGGAGCCUAGUUUUGGUA